rnacentral:rRNA from 1 species
UACAGAGGUCUCAAGCGUUGUUCGGAUUCAUUGGGCGUAAAGGGUGCGUAGGCGGCGCGGUAAGUCGGGGUGUGAAAUCUCGGAGCUUAACUCCGAAACUGCAUUCGAUACUGCCGUACUUGAGGACUGGAGAGGAGACUGGAAUUUACGGUGUAGCGGUGAAAUGCGUAGAUAUCGUAAGGAAGACCAGUGGCGAAGGCGGGUCUCUGGACAGUUCCUGACGCUGAGGCACGAAGGUCAGGGGGAGCAAACGGG